rnacentral:lncRNA from 1 species
AAAAUACUCUUGUGACUAAUUUUAUUGCAACAUUUACUUUUUGCAGUGGUCUGGAACAAAACCCACAUUGUUGCCAAGGUAUGCUUGUAUCCCCCAACCGUAUGCACAGUGUUUGAUGCCUUCCUAUCUGCUGAACACCACUGCAAAAAAUUCUCAUCACUUUGGAAAUCUCUAUUUUUAUACUAAUAAUGAUUAACUUGGAAUAAAGGUACUAAAAUUCUUAAUGUCAGCCUUAACCUUAGUGUCAAAUUUCACAGUUUUAAUUUAUCCUAUUUCAGGUUUUUUAAACCAGUGUUCACAAUGUACCCUGACUUAUCUGUAGAAAUUAGUGAACUGUCAUAUCUCUAAGAAAUAAGUUAUUUUCCAUACUUACAGAUCUUAACAAUAAGGGCCUAUUUGCUACCUACAACUCCCUUAGUAUCUUAUUAUUUAGACAUGUAGCAGACAACUAAUAAGAUCACUAGGGAAAGAGCUGGCAUAUUAUCAUUGCAGAUAUGAAAUCCAGAUGCCAUUUGCAACACAUGGGCAGGUAGGAUAUUGAUCUAUAUUUACUAUUCAAAUGGCUAGACAUCAUGGUAAUAUAAAUAUGAUUUGUCACUUCAUUAUGUUCUCUUUCUUAACAUUGCUAAGUGCCUUAAUGUAAAGGUACUGUUUAAAAGUAACAGGUAACAAUGCAAUUUACAGCAUUAGGUUGUUUUUCAAGUUUGUGUGAAUAUGACUGAGUGGACAUAUCUGGCAGUGACAUUUUCUUGAGUCAUGAGAAAAUAAUUAUCUAGUAUGUAUGGGGAAACCUUUACAUUUGUUAAUAACUUCAAAGAAAAUAUAUUUGUGGAUGUAUGAAUAGCAAGUGUUUAACUAUUAGAGACUAUUGUUCACCAACAAGGAUGCCAGAACAUAACCUUCACCUCAAAAGUUUGAGGGUCCCCAAAACAUCUCAAUAUUUUUAAACUAACCAUGGUAGAUUGCCAGUGGAUCUAUUGAGACACUUCUGGAAAUGUUUUUUUUUUUUUUCCCCUCUAGGUUUCCUCCACAACUUCUCUACAGAGGAGUGGUUAGUGAGCUUGAACAGCUGAGCAAUAAUCCUCAUGAGAGAUGAAUUUAUGCUGUAUUGGCCAAGAGAUUAUAGUUCCAGAGGGAAGACUGCUUCUACCAGAAGACCCAAGAAUGAUUUCAUUGAAAUAGAAGUUAAGACUGCUACCCAUCUACUUUGGGCUUCUCAUGCCUCUAAGUAAAUUUUGCUUAUUUUUAGUUACUGUGCUAAUUGGAACAAUUGAUCCUGACUGCCAAGAAUAAAUCGGACUGUUGCUAUACAAUAGAGGUAAGGGAAGACUAUGUCUGGGAGGCAGGAGAUAUUUUUGGAUAUCUGUUAGUGCUACCAUGCCCUGUGGUUAAAGUCAAUGGAAAACUAUGACAACCAAAUCCAGGCAGGACUACCAGUAGCCAAGACCCUACAAGAAUGAAGGUUUGUGUUACCCACCAGACAAAGAACCAUGGCCAACUGACAUUCUUGCUGAGAACAAAGAAUGCAAGCAAUGGAAAGUGGGAAAAGUGGCACAGGUAGCACUUGGCUUUAUUGACACACUGCUGAAGAGGACACAACUUCCUGAAGAAAAAGAGAGGCUAAAGAGAGUUUGUAGAUAAAUACUGCUUUUCAAUCUGAAUAAAAUUGCAUGAAGACUUGGAACAUACAUACUUAAAGGAAGGCAAGUUUGAAAAUCUGGUUUGGGGAUUUAUGGUGGAUAUUUUUGCUUAACACUAUGUCAUACAACAGUAAUAAAAAAUAAAAAGGUGUUGUUUCAAUAAAAUU